UUAAGCAAAGAAGAGCGCAGGGUGGAUGCCUUGGCACUAAGAGCCGAAGAAAGACGUGAUAAGCUGCGAAAAGCUGCGGGGAGAUGCAAAUAAUCCUUGAUCCGCAGAUGUCUGAAUGGGGAAACCCGGUACGAAGAACUCGUAUCAUCCAUACGCCAAUCCAUAACGUAUGGAGGGGAACCCGGUGAACUGAAACAUCUAAGUAGCCGGAGGAAGAGAAAGAAACAUCGAUUUUGUUAGUAGCGGCGAGCGAAAGCGAAAGAGGCCAAACCGGAGUGCGUGCACUCCGGGGUUCGGACCGCAUUUAAGAUUCAGUGAUUCUAGCAGAAAGGUUUGGGAAAGCCUGCCGGAGAGGGUGAAAGCCCCGUAAGCGAAAGGAGAGCUGACUGAGCGGAAUCCAGAGUACAUCGAGACACGAGAAACCUUGAUGGAAUGAGCGGGGACCACCCCGUAAGCCUAAAUACUACUUAGUGACCGAUAGCGCAUAGUACUGUGAAGGAAAGGUGAAAAGGACCCCGGGAGGGGAGUGAAAGAGAACCUGAAACCCUGUGUUUACAAGCUGUGGAAGUUCUUUAAAUGAACAACCGCGUACUUUUUGUAGAACGGUCCGGCGAGUUGCGGAUACUGGCAAGGUUAAGCACUUAAGGUGCGGAGCCGAAGGGAUACCAAGUCUUAACAGGGCGUUAAGUCAGUAUACGCAGACCCGAAACCGGGUGAUCUAUCCAUGUCCAGGUUGAAGUUGUCGUAAAAGACAAUGGAGGACCGAAGCCACAUCCGUUGAAAAGGGUGGGCAUGAGGUGUGGAUAGGGGAGAAAUUCCAAUCGAACCCGGAGAUAGCUGGUUCUCCUCGAAAUAGCUUUAGGGCUAGCCUCGAUUUAGUCUUAUGGAGGUAGAGCACUGAAUUUCCGCGGGGGCGUCAAAGCUUACCAAAGAAUAUCAAACUCCGAAUGCCAUGUAGAUGAUGAUCGGGAGUCAGACUGCACGAGAUAAGUUGGGCAGUCAAAAGGGAAAGAGCCCAGACCACCGGCUAAGGUCCCAAAGUGCGUGUUAAGUGGAAAAGGAUGUGGGAAUUCGAAGACAACUAGGAUGUUGGCUCAGAAGCAGCCAUACAUUCAAAGAGUGCGUAACAGCUCACUAGUCGAGAGUUCCUGCGCCGAAAAUGUCCGGGGCUGAAACACGACACCGAAGCCGUGGACUCGCAAUGCGAGUGGUAGAGGAGCAUUCUUAAAACCGACGAAGCUGUACCGGAAGGAGCAGUGGAGGGAUAAGAAGAGAGAAUGCCGGAAUGAGUAGCGAGAGAAAGGUGGGAAUCCUUUCGGCCGAAUAUCUAAGGUUUCCAGAGUAAAGCUGAUCUGCUCUGGGUAAGUCGGGGCCUAAGCACAGGUCGCAAGACGUAAGCGAUGGAUAACAGGUUUAGAUUCCUGUACCACGCAUUAUCAGAACUGUAGGGACGCAUGUGGAAAGCACGAGCCGGGAAUGGAAAGACCGGUACAAGCGAGGUAGGUGUACAAUAGGCAAAUCCGUUGUAUGAUCCGAAGACGUGAUGUGGAGCGAAAUAAAGUAGUGAAGCGUGUGAGCCAUGUGCCGAGAAAAGCUGCUAUUGUGUAAUGCGUGCCCGUACCGUAAACCGACACAGGUGGAUGAGGAGAGAAUCCUAAGGCCGACGGAAGAAGCAUUGUUAAGGAAUUCGGCAAAAUGACCCCGUAACUUCGGGAGAAGGGGUGCCUGCGAGAGCAGGCCGCAGAGAAUAGGCUCAAGCAACUGUUUAGCAAAAACACAGGUCUAUGCGAAACCGAAAGGUGAAGUAUAUGGGCUGACGCCUGCCCGGUGCUGGAAGGUUAAGAGGAGAGGUUAGCGUAAGCGAAGCUUUGAAUUUAAGCCCCAGUAAACGGCGGCCGUAACUAUAACGGUCCUAAGGUAGCGAAAUUCCUUGUCGGGUAAGUUCCGACCCGCACGAAAGGCGUAAUGAUUUGAGCACUGUCUCG
rnacentral:rRNA from 1 species